rnacentral:rRNA from 1 species
UGGGGAAUAUUAGACAAUGGGCGCAAGCCUGAUCCAGCCAUGCCGCGUGAGUGAUGAAGGCCCUAGGGUUGUAAAGCUCUUUCACCGGUGAAGAUAAUGACGGUAACCGGAGAAGAAGCCCCGGCUAACUUCGUGCCAGCAGCCGCGGUAAUACGAAGGGGGCUAGCGUUGUUCGGAUUUACUGGGCGUAAAGCGCACGUAGGCGGACUAUUAAGUCAGGGGUGAAAUCCCGGGGCUCAACCCCGGAACUGCCUUUGAUACUGGUAGUCUUGAGUUCGAGAGAGGUGAGUGGAAUUCCAAGUGUAGAGGUGAAAUUCGUAGAUAUUCGGAGGAACACCAGUGGCGAAGGCGGCUCACUGGCUCGAUACUGACGCUGAGGUGCGAAAGCGUGGGGAGCAAACAGG